rnacentral:tmRNA from 1 species
GGGGCUGCACUGGUUUCGACGUGGGUUCGGACGCGCAGCAGGGCAUGUCGAGCUCAGUGUGCUCGUAAAAAAGACUGAAACAAACUAACUGCAAACGACGAACGUUUCGCACUCGCCGCUUAAUCGCGCGUGAGCCUCACAACAGCAGGCCGAUGGGCUGGGCAAGGGUGGCGCAAGCUGUCCAGGCUGUGGGGUAAUUUACAUUGGCUGGCUUCUGCGCGGGCACCUUGCGCAGUCGUGAGAUUCAAGGAUGCUGGCGUUUUGCAUAGCGUGCCACUGCGCGAUGCAAAAAGUGAGAUUUAAAUCAGACGGCUACACAUGUAGAACUGCUCGAAGAAGGCUUGCGGACGCGGGUUCAAAUCCCGCCAGCUCCACCA